rnacentral:misc_RNA from 1 species
AAGAGACGUUGCCCUUCGGGGUAUACCUCCCACCCUUUGUUUAUUAUACCUUUGUUGCUUUGGCGGGCCCGUCCUCGGACCACCGGCUUCUGCUGGUCAGUGCCCGCCAGAGGACCUAAAACUCUGUUUGUUAAUAUUGUCUGAGUACUAUAUAAUAGUUUAA